ensembl:snRNA U2 U2 spliceosomal RNA
AUCGAUUCUCAGCCUUUUGGCUAAGAUCAAGUGUAGAAAUAUUUCUACACAGGGUCCCUGUGUUCUACCUCCUAUAUUAGGAGAAACUUUGUUUCUCUUUGCUUCAUAUGAUUGCUGAACCACAU